GGAGGGAAAGUGGGCGGGGCCUGGGUGGGCGGUGGUGGCGCUCGAGGGCGGCUGCAGGACCGCGGCCGGACGGUAGAGGCCUCCCUUCCGAGGCGGCGGCUCGGACGUCGAGCGCCGGGGCUCUGCUCGCCGGCUCGUCCUUCCCGGCGCGGUCCGGCACGGCCGGGCCCAGCGCGGCCCAUACCCGCCUGCUCUCCUCCCCCUGCAGGCGGCAGCGCCCGUUUUCUGAGGUCCAAUUUCCUGUCCCUUACUUUACCUGGUCUUUUGCUGCCCCACUGCAACACCCUCGGGACUUCAGACAUCAAGAGGACGCCACAGAGGUUUCGCUAAGUGCCUGGUCUUCAGAGUGGGGACGAUCCCUUUCUCUCGCGAGCUUAGAGGUGCUGCCGUCCCCGCUGAACCGCUGGUGA
rnacentral:lncRNA from 1 species